rnacentral:rRNA from 1 species
GAUGAACGCUGGCGGCGUGCUUAACACAUGCAAGUCGAACGAAGCGAUAGAAACGGAACAUUUCGGUGGGAAGUAUUUAUUGACUGAGUGGCGGACGGGUGAGUAACGCGUGGAUAACCUGCCUCAUACAGGGGGAUAACAGUUAGAAAUGACUGCUAAUACCGCAUAAGCGCACAGGACCGCAUGGUCUGGUGUGAAAAACUCCGGUGGUAUGAGAUGGAUCCGCGUCUGAUUAGCUAGUUGGAGGGGUAACGGCCCACCAAGGCAACGAUCAGUAGCCGGCCUGAGAGGGCGACCGGCCACAUUGGGACUGAGACACGGCCCAAACUCCUACGGGAGGCAGCAGUGGGGAAUAUUGCACAAUGGGGGAAACCCUGAUGCAGCGACGCCUUGGUAAGCCUUU